CCACAGAAAGUUGGAUUUAGUUAUUUUAUUUAUUUUUGAUUUUGAUUUUUGAAAGAUGCCUACCCUCACCACAGUGGACUUUGACACGCUUCUACAGAAGAUAUCUGUUAUGGAACAGAAGAUCUGCCGACUCGAACUGAAUUAUGAUGUAAACGGCGCGUAUGGAAAUUAAACAACCCUGCCUGUGACUCCGAACGGCGACCAGCAGCCCAGCAACUCAUUGAACAAACAGCUCCCUGAGGAAAAUGAGAAUCCCUGGACCACUCUGGGUGCAAGACCAAAGGAUCAAUGAACCCCCCACCUAGACAAAGGAAACUGGCCAAUACUACCGAGAACUGUCCCAGGACAAGUGAAACAACUGCGGGCUGUUCCCACAACAAAUGAUAGGAGUGGAACCUGCCUCGGAUCCCACUCCGGAGAACCUCUUGCCUUGGCUGAGCCGGCCAGCUCUCGGCAGGCUCAGCUGCUUAGGAAGAAAACCUCAGAAAGUCCCUGAUCAUCCUCGCAAGUCUCAGUGUCUACAGAGCGCUGAUCAGCUGACAGCCUCCCUGCCGCCGCCCCCACCGCACGAGUUGACCGGACCCUCCCCCGCCCCCCUCGGACUCUGUCAGCCAUCGCACCCUCUCCGAUCACCAGAAUCCACCUAGAACUGAUGACUCUGCUUGGCAGCCUCUACCCCUGCUGCAAGCAACAGCAGCUUCUCAGUCUUUGGUGCACUGCAGCGACCGCUCACUCCCCUGGCAAAUCAAUCAUAUCACUACGAUGACCAUCUCCUGCUGUUACCAGACGUCCGGAGGACUCACAACACGUCUUGAGCUUUAUAUUUAAUAAACUUGUUAAACUCGGA